rnacentral:lncRNA from 10 species
AAAGGACAAGGAACAAGCCUUUUCCUAUCGUGAGGGCAUUUCGAAAUGAACAACAAAGCAACAAGUCUUACGCUUACAAUCUUCAUUUGGCGAAUUAAGUGGCUGGCGUGCAUUGUGCUCUGAGAAAAUGGUGACCUGGGAUAGGAGGAGCAAAGAUGGUCGAAUAGGAACAGCUCUGGUCUACAGCUCCCAGCGUGAGUGACGCAGAAGAUGGGUGAUUUCUGCAUUUCC